rnacentral:rRNA from 1 species
GACGUAGGGCGCGAGCGUUGUCCGGAUUUAUUGGGCGUAAAGAGCGUGUAGGCGGCCAGGUAGGUCCGCUGUGAAAACCCGAGGCUCAACCUCGGGACGUCGGCGGAAACCAUCUGGCUAGAGUCCGGAAGAGGAGAGUGGAAUUCCCGGUGUAGCGGUGAAAUGCGCAGAUAUCGGGAAGAACACCCGUGGCGAAGGCGGCUCUCUGGGACGGUACUGACGCUGAGACGCGAAAGCGUGGGGAGCGAACAGG